UACAAAAACAUCUGUCGCUGAAAAUCAAGAAAUUAGUGCGGAUCGAUAUUACUAUUUGGUAAAAAUAUAAGCAUUGUUUAUGGAGUAUUCUAUGCUAAUUAUACAUUUUUUUAAAUCUUAUUUUAUUUCUUACAAUUACAAACUAUCUCAUCGAUCGGAAAAUUGUAAACUUUGGGAAAGUGAUGUUAACACGAUUAACGUGGUUAACCUUACCAGAGAUUCAGCUGAAUCGAUGAUUGAUUUUGAAUCGGCUAUAAAAUGAAAAUCUGUUGCUGUUACAUAGGGCUGUAAUACAGAAUAUAUUCCAUUUUAAUUUUGGUUCAGGUGAAAUACAAUUGACAUAAGUAUGCUAGAGAAUACAUCAUUGAUGACGCUAAUGUUUUUACCAAACAGUAGCCUCAAUAUUCGUGUAUUUCUCAUAGUUAUAGAUUUUUUUCAAAUAUCAAAUCCUGCUAUGAAAUAUAUACUCAGUGAAAAUACAGUAAAAAAACACCCCUCACUAGUAGCGCAAUAGUUUAAGUUUAAAUGUAAGACAAAGAACUGUGCUUGGAAAAACAUUGUCAUUUAUUUGUUUAGAGCUGAUUUGAAGAGCAGCCUAGUUAAAAUUUUAACAGGCGUAUUUUAAGGACCAUCCUAGUGUACAUUGCGUCAAUUACGAGUGGAGUUGAAUGUGCUUGGUCAAUAAACCAGCAUUCUCUGCGUCCUACUCGCAUCAGCUGAACUAGUUUUAUCGUAAAAUUAAAGUACACUGAAAAAAAUUGUUCGAAGACUGUCACCAUACCGACAUGCAUUUGUAUUAUAAAUAGAGGAACUGUACAAAAAAGUAUAAAACUUACUUUUAGCUGCCGAAAAAUGAAAAAUUGUGCGAUUCUUUCAAUUACACGAUAACACAGUAAGAAAAUGCACUUGUUUCUAGCAACAUUCUCAGUAUUAAUCUGUAAAAUGUAAGCAAUUUGGUGUAACUUUGGUGCACGAGAAGUAAUCUGGGUUACCUUAAUCAUGUAGUUCCGUCAACCAGUCGUAAUACAAAAGUAUUCGAGAGGCCUGAGUAGGCAGUAUAUUCUAUGAUAGUUUUACAGGAAGACUAAUAUA